rnacentral:rRNA from 1 species
GCUACUGGACCUAGCGGCGGACGGGUGAGUAAUACUUAGGAAUCUGCCUAUUAGUGGGGGACAACGUUCCGAAAGGAGCGCUAAUACCGCAUACGCCCUACGGGGGAAAGCAGGGGAUCUUCGGACCUUGCGCUAAUAGAUGAGCCUAAGUCGGAUUAGCUAGUUGGUGGGGUAAAGGCCUACCAAGGCGACGAUCUGUAGCGGGUUUGAGAGGAUGAUCCGCCACACUGGGACUGAGACACGGCCCAGACUCCUACGGGAGGCAGCAGUGGGGAAUAUUGGACAAUGGGCGCAAGCCUGAUCCAGCCAUGCCGCGUGUGUGAAGAAGGCCUUAUGGUUGUAAAGCACUUUAAGCGAGGAGGAGGCUUACCUAGCUAAUACCUAGGAUAAGUGGACGUUACUCGCAGAAUAAGCACCGGCUAACUCUGUGCCAGCAGCCGCGGUAAUACAGAGGGUGCAAGCGUUAAUCGGAAUUACUGGGCGUAAAGCGCGCGUAGGUGGCCAUUUAAGUCAAAUGUGAAAUCCCCGAGCUUAACUUGGGAAUUGCAUUCGAUACUGGAUGGCUAGAGUAUAGGAGAGGAAGGUAGAAUUCCAGGUGUAGCGGUGAAAUGCGUAGAGAUCUGGAGGAAUACCGAUGGCGAAGGCAG